rnacentral:rRNA from 1 species
UACGGAAGGCAGCAGUGGGGAAUAUUGCACAAUGGGCGCAAGCCUGAUGCAGCCAUGCCGCGUGUAUGAAGAAGGCCUUCGGGUUGUAAAGUACUUUCAGUCGUGAGGAAGGUGUUAAGGUUAAUAACCUUAGCAAUUGACGUUAGCGACAGAAGAAGCACCGGCUAACUCCGUGCCAGCAGCCGCGGUAAUACGGAGGGUGCGAGCGUUAAUCGGAAUUACUGGGCGUAAAGGGCACGCAGGCGGUUAAUUAAGUUGGAUGUGAAAUCCCCGGGCUUAACCUGGGAAUGGCAUUCAAGACUGGUUAGCUAGAGUCUUGUAGAGGGGGUAGAAUUCCAUGUGUAGCGGUGAAAUGCGUAGAGAUGUGGAGGAAUACCGGUGGCGAAGGCGGCCCCUGGGACAAAGGACUGACGCUCAUGUGCGAAAGCGUGGGGAGCGAAACAGGAUUUAGAUA